GAUGAACGCUGGCGGCGUGCCUAAUACAUGCAAGUCGAGCGAAUGGAUUAAGAGCUUGCUCUUAUGAAGUUAGCGGCGGACGGGUGAGUAACACGUGGGUAACCUGCCCAUAAGACUGGGAUAACUCCGGGAAACCGGGGCUAAUACCGGAUAACAUUUUGAACCGCAUGGUUCGAAAUUGAGAGGCGGCUUCGGCUGUCACUUAUGGAUGGACCCGCGUCGCAUUAGCUAGUUGGUGAGGUAACGGCUCACCAAGGCAACGAUGCGUAGCCGACCUGAGAGGGUGAUCGGCCACCCGGGGGCGGAGACACGGACCAGACCCCUACGGGAGGCAGCAGUAGGGAAUCUUCCGCAAUGGACGAAGGUCUGACGGAGCAACGCCGCGUGAGUGAUGAAGGCUUUCGGGUCGUAAAACUCUGUUGUUAGGGAAGAACAAGUGCUAGUUGAAUAAGCUGGCACCUUGACGGUACCUAACCAGAAAGCCACGGCUAACUACGUGCCAGCCGCCGCCGUAA
rnacentral:rRNA from 1 species